ACCCCACUAUUAGCCCUCAAGAGAAAAUUCUAAGCACUACGGCUAAAAAAGCUAAAACUUAAAUAACAUGGCGGCAAGCUUAAAUUUCAGAGGAACCUACCAGGUAAAUGAUAACCCGCAAAAUAUUCUUACUUUAUCUAAGAGUUUAUAUACCGCCGUCUAGUAAUCUUUUAGGAAGGCUACAAAAUGUAAUUUUUACAAAAAGACAGGUCAUGGUAUAGCAUAUGGUAAAGACUUUAAGGUGGGUUACAAUAAAAAUUUUUUUCGGAAAGCUAGCUAAAGGCAGCUUUAAAGAUGGAUUUGAAAGUAAAUAUUAAAAUAAGUAUGUUUUGAAUAUUUUUAAGUUCGUGUACACACCG
rnacentral:rRNA from 1 species